rnacentral:ncRNA from 1 species
UUCUGAAAAUAGCAAACCCGCCCGCCUGAGAGAUGGCGCGGUCUGCCGGCAGUGCCGGCAGAGAGUAAUCCGGGGACGCAAAGCCAACGGGUCCCCUGUGCUGACGAAAGUUUCACAGGGAGAUGGCUGGGUUGCCAAA